ACAGCAGCCGCCGCGGGAAUACGUAGGUCCCGAGCGUUGUCCGGAUUUAUUGGGCGUAAAGCGAGCGCAGGCGGUUAGAUAAGUCUAAAGUUAAAGGCUGUGGCUUAACCACAGUACGCUUUGGAAACUGUUUAACUUGAGUGCAAGAGGGGAGAGUGGAAUUCCAUGUGUAGUGGUGAAAUACGUAGAUAUCAGGAGGAAUACCGGUGGCGAAGGCGGCUGCCUGGCCCAAUACUGACGUUGAGAUGCGAAAGCGUGGGGAGCAAACAGGAUUAGAUACCCCCGUAGUCCCUGUCUCUUAUACA
rnacentral:rRNA from 1 species